GCUCCGGCGGAACAUAUACCAAAAUUGGGAGAGAGAGUACAGAGAACAUCGGCAGGGCCCCUGCGCAAGGAUGACACGCAAAAUCGAGCAGAAUUAAAAACAAAA